rnacentral:rRNA from 1 species
GGAUGCGGAUCUCGAAAGCCUGUUCCAGUUCGGACUGGAGUCUGCAACCCGACUCCACGAAGUUGGAUUCGCUAGUAAUCGCGCAUCAGCCAUGGCGCGGUGAAUACGUUCCCGGGCCUUGUACACACCGCCCGUCAAGCCAUGGGAGCCGGGGGCGCCUGAAGUCCGGGACCGCGAGGACCGGCCUAGGGCGAAACUGGUAACUGGGGCUAAGUCGUAACAAGGUACC